rnacentral:lncRNA from 1 species
AUAAAGAAGGUCCCCAGGAAAUUCAGUGGUUGGACCAGAUCACACAUGUAACUGAAUGACAGAGGAAGGAUUUGAUCUCAGGGCUCACUUCGACACAAGCUAUUUCCAUCCUCCCACUUCUUCAAGCUGGGAGCUGGGACUAGAGCUGAUCCUGCCACCAGAUGGAGACCUUGGUUCCUGCUUCCAUGGGAAGUUGGGGAAGGAAAUUUGCACCUGGCCAGAGAGCGAGCUGGAGCAGCAUCCCUUAGGGGAGGGCCAGACUCUGCCCCUGCUUCAGUCAGGCCAAGUAAAUGUGCCCACAUUUCCCACCCGCCUCACCCACCCUGCACCACCUGAAUCCAGGGGAAGGGCCUUCCACUGCUGGCUGAGCCUAGAACUCGGCUCCCAGGGGCCUGGGGUCUGCAGGUCACCCCACAGGUCGCUCCGUGCUACUCUGAUUUCAGGCCUGGGCUCUGAAAUGACGGGGUGCUAAGGUGUCCUCAAAGGGAACCCAUCCUCAGCUUCACUCCCUUCCCUGGCCACAUGACUUCCUAUGAUGCUGAGAAAGGAGGCCAGAGUGGAGCUCCGUAGCCCACUGAAGCUCCUCCUCUUCAAUAUGUCAUGGGGAGCAGAGCAGGAGCCAUAGUCUGACUCCAUGAGCAAUCGUUGGGGGGUCCCUGAAGCAGUCAUUCUGGCUUCUCCAUGGAUCUUCUAUACAGAGAUGCUCACCCAGGUGCUCACCAGGUGUCCAUUCUCCCUGGGUCUCUUUCAGUCUUCACAGCAACCCUGUGAGCUGGGGAGUACCCCAUUCUACAGAUCAGGAAACAAAUGCCGGGUUCAGUGAUUUCCCCAGUGUUACUCAUUUUAGAAGGCAGCAAGCCAGUCAGUAAACACUCAUGAAGCACCUCCUCUGACCCAGGCACUGUGCCACGUGCUGGGUAGAGAAAGAGAAAGACAAAAGAGAGUCUCGGCUUUCAAGGAGCUCCCAAGAAACCACUGGAGGUGGCAAUCUGCAAACACUGUAUACCAACAAGCUGCAGGCAGGAUAAAUCAAGAUCCCAAGAAAGGCACUCAAAUUUAAGUCUUCUGGACUCCAUCCAUUCUGUCACCUGCUGCCCUCUGGUGAGGCUAAAGAAUGAAAGGAUGCCCAGUAGGUCCAGCCAGAUAGCUGUGAGGGGUGUAAUGCAUAGUCAGAAAGAGGAUCACACACACACACACACACACACACACACACACACACACACACACACACACGGGAACUGGAGAGAGUUGAGAAAAUGGAGAGGGGGAAGAGAUUGAUUUUCCCCUCUCUUCCCCUUGGGGAAGGUAACCUGGGUUUUGUCUCCCUGAGGGACAGAAUAUGUCUCCUCAAAAAGUGGUCCUGGGAGGUGGAGGUUAAGAACUAGAGGAAAGAGCUUUGGUGAAAUGGCACACAGUUUCCCUUCUUGGUCUCAGCUAUUGUUGAAAGACAAGUGGGCCUUCCUGUCUCUGGG